GACGAACGCUGGCGGCGUGCCUAAUACAUGCAAGUAAGACGCAGUUGCGAACGGGUGAGUAACGCGUAGGUAACUAACUAUUAGAGGGGGAUAACUAUUGGAAACGAUAGCUAAUACCGCCUACAAGUAAAUGGACCUGCGUUGUAUUAGCUAGUAGGUUGGGUAAUGGCCUACCUAGGCAACGAUACAUAGCCGACCUGAGGAGGGGAUCGGCGAAACGUGGUCUGAGACACGGUCCAGACUCCUACUGGAGGCAGCAGUAGGGAAUCUUCGGCAAUUGGGUGAAUCCUGACCGAGCUACGCGGGGUGAGUGAAGAAGGUUUUCGGAUCGUAGAGCUCUGUUGUUAAGGAAGCGGUGCUUAACCAGAAUGGGACGGCUAACUACGUGCCAGCAGCCGCGGUAAUAC
rnacentral:rRNA from 1 species